rnacentral:rRNA from 1 species
AUACGGAGGGAGCAAGCGUUAUUGGGAAUCACUGGGCGUCAAGGACGCGUAGGCGGGUUGGCAAGUCAGAUGGGAAAUCCUACAGCUUAACUGUAGAACUGCAUUUGAAACUGCUAACCUAGAGUAUGGGAGGGGGAGAUGGAAUUAGUGGUGUAGGGGUAAAAUCCGUAGAUAUCACUAGGAAUACCGAAAGCGAAGGCGAUCUCCUGGAACAUAACUGACGCUAAGGCGUGAAAGCGUGGGGAGCAAACAGGAUUAGAAACCCUGGUAGUCC